GACAGAGGGGGCAAGCGUUGCUCGGAAUCACUGGGCGUAAAGGGCGCGUAGGUGGCCUUCUAAGUCGAACGUGAAAUCCCUGGGCUCAACCCAGGAACUGCGUCCGAUACUGGAAGGCUUGAAUCCGGGAGAGGGAUGCGGAAUUCCAGGUGUAGCGGUGAAAUGCGUAGAUAUCUGGAGGAACACCGGUGGCGAAGGCGGCAUCCUGGACCGGCAUUGACGCUGAGGCGCGAAAGCUAGGGGAGCAAACGGG
rnacentral:rRNA from 1 species